UACGUAGGGUGCGAGCGUUAAUCGGAAUUACUGGGCGUAAAGCGUGCGCAGGCGGUUUUGUAAGCCAGACGUGAAAUCCCCGGGCUGAACCUGGGAAUGGCGUUUGGGACUGCAAGGCUGGAGUGUGGCAGAGGGGACUAGAAUUCCUGGUGUAGCAGUGAAAUGCGUAGAUAUCAGGAGGAAUACCGAUGGCGAAGGCAGGUCCCUGGGCUAACACUGACGCUCAAGCACGAAAGCGUGGGGAGCAAACAGG
rnacentral:rRNA from 1 species